rnacentral:tRNA from 1 species
GGUGAUUGUAGCUCAGCUGGUUAGAGCGCUGGUUUGUGGCACCAGAGGUCGCCGGUUCGAUCCCGGUCAUUCACCC